GGCUGCAUAAGUAAAUAUGGCUACAAACACGCAUGUGGUAAUAAUUCUAUGUUUUCUUUUUAUUAAUGAUAUUUUUAGCUAUUUUACCAUCUGAUUUAGUCAAGUUGAAAAAGAAAAUAUUUCUAAUUGUCUCCAGUGACUAUACGACAGCACGGCAGCACAAUACUAUGGAAGCGUUAAUUGACCCCCGAGUUGACGUGAAAAUGACAGAAAUGUCAGGAUAGAUUAUCUCAACAUAUCAUGUAAUAUCGUGGCACAUCGGAUAUUAUUAAGACGUCACGCCAGAACUGAUUCUGGUCUUGUUGACAAAGUUUCUACCACAUGUCAUAAUUUAUGCUACGCUUACCUAAAUUUACUAUGUGGUACGUCUUUAUGUAGUCACAGUAAGGCGACAUGCCAUUAUGUAACGUAUCAUGUUACUUAAAUAUAAGUCGACUUGCCAUUUGAUUAACAUGGUUUUGCUUCCUAAAUUUAAACGAGAAAAUUACAAGAUGAAAACGUCAACUUACACGAACACAAAAGGUAACAUACAGUACCGAGUAUUUCUUGAAUCCGUGUGUGUUCCAGGCGGACGGACGUGUCUAUUUCGGUACGUUUAUACAAUAUUAUAUAAAUUGAAAUAAUAAUUCACGAUUUUUUAAUUGAAUUAAUUUGUAACCAUGAAUAGAGUAAAAUAUAAACAUCAGUUAAGAGUGCUAAGAGUGUAGUAACAUAGGUAUUUGUAAGAAAAGACAGAGGCCUUUCCUUUUGGUCACGUAUUCAGACUUCUAGACCCGGGGUUGAAGGGUGCAGUUACCGGACCACUGGGCACCCUACAUGUAUUUUUUCAAGAUAGGCUUCUGUAGUCUUGUUUAUCUGAUAGAAUUGCACACUCCUUUGUUAAGUUCAGGGUCGUGGGUUCGAGCCCAACUUGGAUAGCGGCCAUGGCUUCUCAGGUGGCACGUACAGUACCAGCUGGUAGGAACUACAUUUUGGACUACUUUACUACGCUUGCUAUUAUCAGUUUUUCCUCCCUUUGCAGACGUUUUCCAUUUGCAUUCGUGACGGGAGAAUGGACGAGAUGGAAGGUCCUUGUGCUAAAUUUAGUAAAGGUUCUUGUGCUGAAUUUAGUAAAACAGAGACCACCUCAGGAAGUGGUGAGAGACUGUCAAUGAUGUACUGAACGAGCACGGAGGAAAAACAACAUAGUCAAAUGGGGGUUUGUCAUAAGCCUAACUUGUGCUUUGAUAGAGAGCCUACAGGAUAUUUUCAUCAAUGUUACCUUACCGCCUGUAUACCUUGUACACUAGACCCGCCCGCUUAGCUCAGUAGGUAGAGCGUCGGUCUACGGAUCGCGGGGUCGUGAGUUCGAUCCUCGGGCUGGGCGUAUGUUCUCCGUGACUAUUUGAUAAACGACAUUGUGUC
rnacentral:lncRNA from 1 species